ACGUCUGCACCGCCUCCGUGAAGCACGACCCCGACUGGCUCGGCGGCGGCGGCGGCGGCGGUGGCGGCGUGUUCGUCGUCACCGGCGCGCAGCUCGUCGCCUGCGGGAGCUGGCCCCGGAAGGCGCUGCAUCUCCGGCUGCUCUUCACCUUCCUCCCCGGGUGCACCAUCAGGAAGACGCAGUGGGCCGCCGCCCCCGCGGCCUCCCACAAGUCAACCUUCCUCACGAUGCUCAGCACCACCUUCACCCAGCGGGACCAGGCGGCGUCCACAGC
rnacentral:lncRNA from 1 species